rnacentral:misc_RNA from 1 species
CUAUAUAUAUAUAUAUAUAUAUCAAUUGAAAAAAAUUUCCAAAUCAAGGAUCAAUAUGUAACUAAAUGAAGAAAUGGAGAAAGAAGGGUUUGCUUUCAGAAAAUGUAGUGAAGUUACAUAUGGAAUAUUGAUAUGCUUCUCUCUGCUUAUAUAUAUAUGUAGGGCUAAUGUGAGAAGACAAAGGAGGUGCUGGAACAAGAAAAUUGUUUACUUAAUUAGGAGUUGGUUAUAGAUUUGGGAGUAAAGGGACAUGCAUAUCCAGAGAUUCAAAGAUGAAGCAAAAAUUUACGUGUGGGGUUUUUUUAAACGCGAGGUGGUUCAAGUGUUCGGACAGAAAAUUUACCCUAGGGCUUUAAUUAGGUGAAGAACAUCCCAUGAAAGGUGGAAGAACUGGGAUUUCAUCUGUUAAUUUUGCACAGUUGCCAAUGUAUAGAGAAUGCAAAGUUCAAGGUACAAAAAGCAUAGUGUCUGAGUAGUUCUAUCACAUAAAGAGAGUUACUGAUCUUAUUAUUCUCAGAUGGACCAGCAGGUAGAUUUUUUUCGUAUUUUUUAAAAUCCCAAAGCCCACAAAUCAUGCAAAAAGGAGAGGAGGAAGGUGGGUUGGAGAUGAUUAAUUAGGAGAAGAAAAAAAUAUAAAUUAAAGAGUUAAAUAAAGGAAAGAUAUGUCUUAAAGUAGAGAAAAAGAAAAAGGAAAACCCUAGCCUAAGGACCCAUAUUGCUCUCCCUUCUCAAGAGUCCAGCUUAGAAUAAAAGUGAAAGGUUG